GACGAACGCUGGCGGCGCGCCUAACACAUGCAAGUCGAGCGAUGAAACUUUAACAGCUCCCUUCGGGGCGAAGAUAAAGUGGAUUAGUGGCGGACGGGAGAGUAACACGUGAGUAACCUGGCUCAGACAUUGGGAUAGCCUCGGGAAACCGGGAUUAAUCCCAAAUAAAAUCACAAUGGCACUUGUCAUAUCGAUCAAAACUCCGGUGGUCUAACAUGGACUUGCGUUCCAUUCGCUAGUUGGCAGAGUAAAAGCCUACCAAGGCGAGGAUGGGUAGCCGGGCUGAGAGAGUGGGCAGACACAUUGGAAGUGAGAAACGGUCCAGACUCCUACGGGAGGCAGCAGUGGGGGAUAUUGCACAAUGGAGGGAAGUCAGAUGCAGCUAGGCCGCGUGAGCGAAGAAGGCUUUCGAGUCGUAAAGUACUUUUAUAUGGGAAGAUAAUGACGGUACCAAAAGAAGAAGCCCCGGCUAACUACGUG
rnacentral:rRNA from 1 species